AUCAAUAUCUAAGAUCAAAUCCAAGUGUGAUUGUGAUCAAGAAAUCUGAUUCAAGGUUGAUGAAGUCGGAAAACAGUAAUGGUCGAAUGACUGAAAGUCUGAGAACUGAAUUAAGGCAUGAGAGUUGUAUGUUGGAACUGUUCUGAUUGGAUAGAACAAGGUUCUAUUGACCACUGAACUCGAGGACGAAUUCAUUCCAAGUGU
rnacentral:lncRNA from 1 species